rnacentral:rRNA from 1 species
AGUGGCAGACGGGUGAGUAAUGUAUAGGAAUCUACCUAGUAGUACGGAAUAAUUGUUGGAAACGGCAACUAAUACCGUAUACGCCCUACGGGGGAAAAAUUUAUUGCUAUUAGAUGAGCCUAUAUUAGAUUAGUUAGUUGGUGAGGUAAAGGCUUACCAAGACAAUGAUCUAUAGCUGAUCUGAGAGGAUGAUCAGCCACACUGGAACUGAGAUACGGUCCAGACUCCUACGGGAGGCAGCAGUGGGGAAUAUUGGACAAUGGGCGAAAGCCUGAUCCAGCUAUGCCGCAUGAGUGAAGAAGGCCUUCGGGUUGUAAAGCUCUUUUAGUGAGGAAGAUAAUGACGGUACUCACAGAAGAAGUCCUGGCUAACUCCGUGCCAGCAGCCGCGGUAAUACGGAGAGGGCUAGCGUUAUUCGGAAUUAUUGGGCGUAAAGGGCGCGUAGGCGGAUUAGUAAGUUAAAAGUGAAAUCCCAAGGCUCAACCUUGGAAUUGCUUUUAAAACUGCUAAUCUAGAGAUUGAAAGAGGAUAGAGGAAUUCCUAGUGUAGAGGUGAAAUUCGUAAAUAUUAGGAGGAACACCAGUGGCGAANGCGUCUAUCUGGUUCAAAUCUGACGCUGAGGCGCGAAGGNGUGGGGAGCAAACAGGAUUAGAUACCC